UGGGGAAUAUUGGACAAUGGGCGCAAGCCUGAUCCAGCAAUGCCGCGUGAGUGAAGACGGCCUUAGGGUUGUAAAACUCUUUCGCUAGGGAAGAUAAUGACUGUACCUAGUAAAGAAGUCCCGGCUAACUCCGUGCCAGCAGCCGCGGUAAUACGGAGGGGACUAGCGUUGUUCGGAAUUACUGGGCGUAAAGAGUUCGUAGGCGGACUGACAAGUUAGAGGUGAAAUCCCAGGGCUCAACCCUGGAACUGCCUUUAAAACUGUCAGUCUAGAGACCGGAAGAGGUUAGGGGAAUACCUAGUGUAGAGGUGAAAUUCGUAGAUAUUAGGUGGAACACCAGUGGCGAAGGCGCCUAACUGGUCCGGUACUGACGCUGAGGAACGAA
rnacentral:rRNA from 1 species